rnacentral:misc_RNA from 1 species
AAGUCGUAACAAGGUUUCCGUAGGUGAACCUGCGGAAGGAUCAUUAAAGAUUCGAGGGCUUCGGCCUUCACCUCUUCAGCUGUCGCUUCGGCUGCACGCCGUCGAACUACACACACCUGUGCACCUUAUCGGUUUCGGCCUCACGGUCGUCGCCGCUUUACAUCUUACAACUUCAGUUCAGAAUGUUUAAACUAUAAAAGUAACAA